UCUGGAGUGUCUGACUCUGUCUCUGCUUCCACACGGCGAUGGGGAUUACUCCUUAUCUCUGUGUCCUCCUGCUCUGUCUGACAGGUAUCCGCUCUCAGAUCGUGCUGACACAGCCUGAGUCAGUUGUGAAAAAGCCGGGGGAGUCUGUCAGACUGACCUGUACAGUGAGUGGAUUCAGCCUCAGCAGCUACUACGUGUCCUGGGUGAGACAGGUCCCUGGGAAAGGGCUGGAAUGGUUACUUGCUUACAGACAAGGAUCUAGCACUUACUACGCACCCGGAGUUAAGGGUCGAAUCACGUUUUCAAUCGAAUCUUCGACAAAAACCUACAUUGAGAUUCCGAAUCUGAGAGUGGACGACACCGCCAUGUAUUACUGUGCCAGAUGGUCACAGUGAGACGAAAUGGGGCUGGA